ACGCUAGCUGACCAUGCAGUCGACGCUGAGCUCCAGCUUGCUGGGGUGGAGAGUGGCGAACGGGUGAGUAAUACGUGAGUAACCUGCCCUUGACUCUGGGAUAAGCCUGGGAAACCGGGUCUAAUACUGGAUACGACGUCCUACCGCAUGGUGGGGCGUGGAAAGGGUUUUACUGGUUUUGGAUGGGCUCACGGCCUAUCAGCUUGUUGGUGGGGUAAUGGCCUACCAAGGCGACGACGGGUAGCCGGCCUGAGAGGGUGACCGGCCACACUGGGACUGAGACACGGCCCAGACUCCUACGGGAGGCAGCAGUGGGGAAUAUUGCACAAUGGGCGCAAGCCUGAUGCAGCGACGCCGCGUGAGGGAUGACGGCCUUCGGGUUGUAACCUCUUUCAGCAGGGAAGAAGCCACAAGUGACGGUACCUGCAGAAGAAGCGCCGGCUAACUACGUGCCAGCAGCCGCGGUAAUACGUAGGGCGCAAGCGUUGUCCGGAAUUAUUGGGCGUAAAGAGCUCGUAGGCGGUUUGUCGCGUCUGCUGUGAAAGCCCGGGGCUCAACCCCGGGUCUGCAGUGGGUACGGCAGACUAGAGUGCAGUAGGGGAGACUGGAAUUCCUGGUGUAGCGGUGAAAUGCGCAGAUAUCAGGAGGAACACCGAUGGCGAAGGCAGGUCUCUGGGCUGUUACUGACGCUGAGGAGCGAAAGCAUGGGGAGCGAACAGGAUUAGAUACCCUGGUAGUCCAUGCCGUAAACGUUGGGCACUAGGUGUGGGGGACAUUCCACGUUCUCCGCGCCGUAGCUAACGCAUUAAGUGCCCCGCCUGGGGAGUACGGCCGCAAGGCUAAAACUCAAAGGAAUUGACGGGGGCCCGCACAAGCGGCGGAGCAUGCGGAUUAAUUCGAUGCAACGCGAAGAACCUUACCAAGGCUUGACAUCCACCGGACCGCACUGGAGACAGUGCUUCCCUUCGGGGCUGGUGG
rnacentral:rRNA from 1 species